rnacentral:rRNA from 1 species
AUACGGAGGAUCCGAGCGUUAUCCGGAUUUAUUGGGUUUAAAGGGUGCGUAGGUGGUUUGAUAAGUCAGCGGUGAAAGUUUGCAGCUUAACUGUAAAAAUGCCGUUGAAACUGUCGGACUUGAGUGUAAAUGAGGUAGGCGGAAUGCGUGGUGUAGCGGUGAAAUGCAUAGAUAUCACGCAGAACUCCGAUUGCGAAGGCAGCUUACUAAGCUACAACUGACACUGAAGCACGAAAGCGUGGGGAUCAAACAGGAUUAGAUACCCUGGUAGUCCACGCUGUAAACGAUGAUUACUGGUUGUUAGCGAUACAAUGUAAGCGGCUGAGCGAAAGCGUUAAGUAAUCCACCUGGGGAGUACGUUCGCAAGAAUGAAACUCAAAGGAAUUGACGGGG